UGAACGCUAGCUACAGGCUUAACACAUGCAAGUCGAGGGGCAGCAUAUAGAUAGCUUGCUAUUUAUGAUGGCGACCGGCGCACGGGUGCGUAACACGUAUCCAAUCUACCCAUGGCUCAGGGAUAGCCUUCCGAAAGAAAGAUUAAUACCUGAUGGUCUCAUUCCAGGACAUCCUGUUAUGAGUAAAGAUUUAUCGGCGAUGGAUGAGGAUGCGUCCGAUUAGCUGGUUGGCGGGGUAACGGCCCACCAAGGCGACGAUCGGUAGGGGUUCUGAGAGGAAGGUCCCCCACACUGGAACUGAGACACGGUCCAGACUCCUACGGGAGGCAGCAGUGAGGAAUAUUGGUCAAUGGGCGGGUGCCUGAACCAGCCAAGUAGCGUGAGGGACGACGGCCCUACGGGUUGUAAACCUCUUUUGUGCGGGAAUAAAGUGCCCUACGCGUAGGGUUUUGCAUGUACCGUACGAAUAAGCAUCGGCUAAUUCCGUGCC
rnacentral:rRNA from 1 species